AAGGCUAAAUACUCGAUAUCGACCGAUAGUGAACCAGUACCGUGAGGGAAAGGCGAAAAGAACCCCGGAAGGGGAGUGAAAUAGAACCUGAAACCGUGUGCAUACAAACAGUAGGAGCGGACUUGUUUCGUGACUGCGUACCUUUUGUAUAAUGGGUCAGCGACUUACAUUCAGUGGCAAGGUUAACCGUAUAGGGAAGCCGUAGAGAAAUCGAGUCCGAAUAGGGCGACAGUCGCUGGGUGUAGACCCGAAACC
rnacentral:rRNA from 1 species